AAUGAACGCUGGCGGCGUGCUUUACACAUGCAAGUCGAGCGAGGCGUCCCGCAAGGGAUAGUCGAGCGGCGAACGGGUGAGUAACGCGUGGAUUAUCUGCCCUGAGGUGGGGGAUAACCCGGGGAAACUCGGGCUAAUACCGCAUAUGACCGUGAGGUCAAAGGGGGGUCGCAGAUCUCUCGCCAUAGGAGGAGUCCGCGUACGAUUAGCUAGUUGGUAGGGUAAUGGCCUACCAAGGCGACGAUCGUUAGCCGGCCUGAGAGGGUGAUCGGCCACACUGGAACUGAGACACGGUCCAGGCUCCUACGGGAGGCAGCAGGUGGGGAAUUUUGCGCAA
rnacentral:rRNA from 1 species